rnacentral:lncRNA from 1 species
CUGGGAGGCAGACUGGCAUGCCCCGGGCUUCCUCUCCAGCAGCCAGCCCUUUCCACAAAGGGCACUCUUAGCCCGACAGCUGAUGACCAGGCCUUUGCAGGGAUCUGCAGUGGCAGGACUCGAUAACAGCAAAGCUGCCCAUGGCUGUCCCUGGGACUCCCCUUUAAAACAAAGACCGGUUACUCUGGAGACAAGCACAGAUGGGAAGACUGACGCCUUGGCAUGUGUAUGGCUUGCACAGGGCCAUGCAAUGCUCUGGGGACAAACCCUCAGGCACCUGAGGCCGGAAGUGGC